AUGUUUUCGUCCCAGUCUCUCAGCCGCGUCAACAACAUCCGUACUGCCUUGAUCAACAUGCAGAAGGGCAACCAAUCGAUGGCCUCCUACUUCACCUCCAUGCGGGGCCUCACCGACGAACUCGCCGCGGCAGGUAAGCCCAUCCAGGACGACAAGCUCAUCUCCUACAUCCUGCAUGGGCUGGACCUAGACUACUAGCCCCUCGUAUCGGCCCUCGACGCCCGUAUCAUGCCUGUCAUCCUCGACGAGAUCUUUGCCAUGCUAAGCAACUCCGAGCAGCGCAUGGCCCAAUUUCAUGGCUCGGCGGUGGUUUUAAAUCCUCCCGAACUCUGCAUCUUGGGGCCGUGGCGGUGGCUCUCGUUCGCGCGGUCCUUCCUGCAACAACAGGAGGUCAGGAGCUAG
rnacentral:rRNA from 1 species